rnacentral:rRNA from 1 species
GGGGAAUUUUCCGCAAUGGGCGAAAGCCUGACGGAGCAACGCCGCGUGAGGGAGGAAGGCCUGUGGGUUGUAAACCUCUUUUCUCAAGGAAGAACACAAUGACGGUACUUGAGGAAUCAGCAUCGGCCAACUCCGUGCCAGCAGCCGCGGUAAGACGGAGGAUGCAAGCGUUAUCCGGAAUUAUUGGGCGUAAAGCGUCCGUAGGUGGUUAUAAAAGUCUGUUGUUAAAGCCCACAGCUCAACUGUGGAUCGGCAAUGGAAACUGUAUGACUUGAGUGUGGUAGGGGUAGAGGGAAUUCCUAGUGUAGCGGUGAAAUGCGUAGAUAUUAGGAAGAACACCAGUGGCGAAGGCGCUCUACUGGGCCAUAACUGACACUGAUGGACGAAAGCUAGGGGAGCGAAAGGGAUUAGAUACCCCUGUAGUC